rnacentral:lncRNA from 10 species
CAAUGGUUAAAAUUAAUACAUAUGUGAUGAUAGAGAUGAACGAUAGCUGAUGAAGCCAGGGGGGACUUAUUCCAAGUUAGUUCAGGUGAGUCAGAGGGGGCUUUCCUCAAGAAGCCCAGAAUAAGUGUCCAUCUGAACAACCACUACUGAGUACCUUUGAUCAGCAGCACAUGUAGUAAUCACCUUGAGGAGCGACCAUCUCCACUCCCCAGGAAUUGUAUGGGAUUGCAGCCAGGCUUAGAGGAACAGGACAGCAGAAUCCUCUACCUCCACCUCCCACGCAUCCAUUCUGCACCUGGUCCUUGUCAAAGCUCACACUUAUUUGAGUUAAUUUUGGCUCAACUCCUCCCGCCCACAUGUAAUUCCUCUCCUGUUUGUCAGCCGUAGCCAGUAUGAGUUUGGCACUCUGAGACUGUCCUUUUAUUGUGUGACCACAGUAGCACCUAAUAUGGUGCCAACCACACAGUCAUGGCCAACUAAUACUUGGCAAUGAUGAACAUAAUAGACAAAGAAGAUGACCGGAAAAAUAUCCUUCGAUAAAUAGCAAAGGAAAAGGUAGUGAUAGAGGACAGAGAAAUGGCAGAAACUUUUUAUGUAGUUUUCAUUUCUCCCUUUUAUAGAAAUGGUCAGAUGUGAACACUUGGCUAGAACAAGUCUCAGCUGUGAGAGGAGAUGGGAAGGCCAACUAGGACAGGCAAAGAGGUAAUUAAAGAGUACCUGGAACGUCUGUGUACAGUGGAACUAGCAGAGCCAGAUGACUAGCAGUGUAAUGCAGUGGAAAGAGAAUUGGAUGAAUCUUCAGAACACUCAGGCUCCAUCUCAACUCACCUUACUUACUAAUUGAGUGACCUUGGGACAGAAAGGCCUCUGAACCUUGCCCUCCAUUCUUGCAGAACAGGGAUAAUAUUACCGUCUUCAUGGGACUGUUCUACAGAGAAAAUGAAAUAAAUCAUGAAAUACUAUUUGGACCUAGGGAAUAUUUAACAGUUGCAGAUGUCACUGCACAGCUGCCAGUCUUCGAUUUUGAGAAGUCAUGGAGGACAAUUCUCUGCAAGAUAGCAAGUGGAGUAUCAGCU